rnacentral:rRNA from 1 species
AGAACGAACGCUGGCGGCAUGCCUAAUACAUGCAAGUCGAACGAGAUCUUCGGAUCUAGUGGCGCACGGGUGCGUAACGCGUGGGAAUCUGCCCUUGGGUUCGGAAUAACUUCUGGAAACGGAAGCUAAUACCGGAUGAUGACGUAAGUCCAAAGAUUUAUCGCCCAAGGAUGAGCCCGCGUAGGAUUAGCUAGUUGGUGGGGUAAAGGCCCACCAAGGCGACGAUCCUUAGCUGGUCUGAGAGGAUGAUCAGCCACACUGGGACUGAGACACGGCCCAGACUCCUACGGGAGGCAGCAGUAGGGAAUAUUGGACAAUGGGGGCAACCCUGAUCCAGCAAUGCCGCGUGAGUGAUGAAGGCCUUAGGGUUGUAAAGCUCUUUUACCCGGGAUGAUAAUGACAGUACCGGGAGAAUAAGCUCCGGCUAACUCCGUGCCAGCAGCCGCGGUAAUACGGAGGGAGCUAGCGUUGUUCGGAAUUACUGGGCGUAAAGCGCACGUAGGCGGCUAUUCAAGUCAGAGGUGAAAGCCCGGGGCUCAACCCCGGAACUGCCUUUG